rnacentral:rRNA from 1 species
UACGUAGGCAGCGAGCGUUGUUCGGAGUUACUGGGCGUAAAGGGUGUGUAGGCGGUUGUUUAAGUUUGGUGUGAAAUCUCCCGGCUCAACUGGGAGGGUGCGCCGAAUACUGAAUGACUAGAGUGCGGGAGAGGAAAGUGGAAUUCCUGGUGUAGCGGUGAAAUGCGUAGAUAUCAGGAGGAAUACCGGUGGUGUAGACGGCUUUCUGGACCGUAACUGACGCUGAGACACGAAAGCGUGGGUAGCAAACAGG